GCUAGAGCUAAGGGUGAAACUUUGAUGAAUGUUUAGAAUUGUCUUUGAUCUUUCAUUUUGUUCUUCAAUGUUCAUCUUCUUACUUGGUUGAAGUUUGUGUUCUACAAAUGGUUUUGGUUUGUUAAAGACUUUGAUUUAUUGUUGACAAUUUUGGCACAAUAAAUGCUUAGAUAAUCUCUACAUACCAACAACUUAUUUUGACAUAUUCUCUCAAACAAUUAUCAAGAUCUAUCUUUUAAUAUAUUUGUGGUUAAUGUUUUAUCUUCCAUAUGAGAUCACUCCUUAGUUGAUUUUCAUAUGAGUUAAAAUUAAAGAUCAAGAGCAAUUUCUACUCAUUUAUCCAAAGUGAAUCCCCGACGCUCUAGUGUUCAUUGCAAUCGUAUUUCCACCAACCGUUUAUUACUCAAAGAAUAGUUUAUUUCCUUCCAAUUCCCUAUGGUUCGACCUCGGACUUUCGAGAUUUACUACUUGCGACAACCUGCACUUGGGUUUGCAACCUUAAAGUUGUAGCAAGUUUUUGGCGCCGUUGCCGGGGAUUUGCGUCAAGGAUUAUUUUCUGCUACUUUCUAUGAGGUUUUCUUCUCUUUCAUAAUCUUCACAAAUCAGGUACACUCGUUCCUUUUUCAAUC
rnacentral:lncRNA from 1 species